rnacentral:rRNA from 1 species
AGACUCCUACGGGAGGCAGCAGUAGGGAAUCUUUCGCAAUGGACGAAAGUCUGACGGAGCAACGCCGCGUGAGUGAUGAAGGUUUUCGGAUCGUAAAGCUCUGUUGUUAGGGAAGAACAAGUGCCGUUCAAAUAGGGCGGCACCUUGACGGUACCUAACCAGAAAGCCACGGCUAACUACGUGCCAGCAGCCGCGGUAAUACGUAGGUGGCAAGCGUUGUCCGGAAUUAUUGG